rnacentral:lncRNA from 1 species
UGCUUUGUCAGUUCCUUAAAAUUACAUUUAUUGCUUUCUGUUCACUCAUGAAUCUGAACACAAUAAAUUGCGAAUACUGCACACAUUGACUUGAGUCUAUGGCUGGAAAUCUAAACAACCGUGGUUUCAAAUUAAAAAUUUUCACUUUCAUUUUCAAAGGUCUGUUAGCUAGCAGAAGAAAUUGCGUGGAAAAGAAGAUACGUUUUGUCGAAAAAUCUGUCCAAGGACUUGGUGUUAAGGAAAGACUUUGAAUGGUAAGAGUUUCUUCACUUUUCUUCUGCUUUUAAUGCACUAAAUGGUGAACCCAUUUGGUCUUUCCAAGUUGGUACUGGCAAAAGCCUAACUGAAUGCAGAAAAAUAUUCAACUUGACACCUCAGGCAAUUAAGACACUACUUCCUAGACAAUGAAUUCAAUUCAAAUUUUCUGAAGUUAAAAUUUAUACAAUUACGAAUAAUCAUGAACACAUUUCAUGCAGAUGACAGAUGAGCACAAGUAAUAAAUCAUAAAUUAGAUCUUUAAAUUAAUAAAUCGUAAAUUAGAUUCCACAACAAUAGAAUUAAUCAACACUCGUAUCAUAUCAAGUUCUUUUUAUCACUUAAGUUACCACGAACAGCUGUGACAACCGGGAGGCUUUACAGUGGCCGAUGGGAGCUGCAACUGUUAGGAUGCUAUUGUGCUGGCUGAGGCUGAUUCGCUGACUUUGCUAUCAUGAGCUGAGCUAGGGCUACCGUGAGGCAUGAGAUACUGUCGUGGGCUGCUGUGGUCGAUUCAGGCCGUCAGCAGCGAUGCUGUCGUGGACUCGUGAGGCUGUGUUGGCUGUCGUGGUGUGCUGUCCUGGCUGUCGUGCCGACGUGGAAGCAACCGGCGGCCAAAUUCGAGAGAGAAGGAGUCGAGGAGAUGCUGGCUGCUAGUGUUCGUUCUGUGGUUUUGGGAAAUUGUCAUUUGUCAAUUGGGAUCGGGUUGCACCGUAAGAGUUUUAGUUUUUUUUUUUUUUUCAAUGUAAGCGGUUGUUACUAUUAACCGAAUUGCAAAACCAAUCGGGUUAAAGAAUUUAAUCCGAUUGAUUUUUAGGUUAAUCCGAACUGAACCAAAUCAAAAGUUGAAUAAAAAUUUAAGUUCGGACCUGAAUAAAAAGCCACCAAUUAUAUGCAAUCAAUUGAUUUAUGCAAGUAAAGGUUGUGUCAAAGUCAUGGGCGGUUUGGCACCAUUAACAUAUUUCAAAAUGGCCACCCAAAUUGAAGGCCAAGUAGAUGCCGCCCAAGGAAAGAAACAAAAGAGAAAGAAGAAAAGAAGAAAGAGAGAAGAAAAAGAGAUGUC